rnacentral:rRNA from 1 species
GUGGGGAAUAUUCCGCAAUGGACGAAAGUCUGACGGAGCAACGCCGCGUGAGUGAAGAAGGUUUUCGGAUCGUAAAGCUCUUUCGUUAGGGACGAACGUGCUCUUUGUGAAUAAUGAGGAGUAAUGACGGUACCUAAAUAAGAAGCCACGGCUAACUACGUGCCAGCAGCCGCGGUAAUACGUAGGUGGCAAGCGUUGUCCGGAAUUAUUGGGCGUAAAGCGCGCGCAGGCGGGAUAUCAAGUCUGUCUUAAAAGUGUGAGGCUCAACCUCGUGAGGGGACAGAAACUGGUAUUCUUGAGUGUCGGAGAGGAAAGUGGAAUUCCAAGUGUAGCGGUGAAAUGCGUAGAGAUUUGGAAGAACACCAGUGGCGAAGGCGACUUUCUGGACUGUAACUGACGCUGAGGCUCGAAAGCCAGGGGAGCGAACGGGAUUAGAUACCCCGGUAGUCC